CCGCUGCGUCCCCGCCUCGCGCUUCCGGGGCUUCUCUCCUCCGCCCCCCAGGGCCCAGCACAGAUGCUGCGGGCUCUUUCUGAGGCUCUCUGUUCCUCCCUCCCCACCCCCACCACACGAUCUCUACCCACCCUGGCCACGUCAAAAAUCACCAUUUUAAAUAAGUAUCGAAGCCCCUCAAGGAAUCGCCUCCAAGAUGCCCGGCCACUCCCGAUGGGCCCCACCCUGAGGAGGAGCCCCGGCUCCCCCUUCCCUGCAGCCUGGGGCUGAAAUAUGUAUUCUCUCAUUCCCCGAGUCCCCAAGGAGGGGUCGGGGGCAUCUUGAGGCAGGGGACACCUCUCCUCCCCUUCAGCCGCCUUUGGUGGCCCCAGCUCUACCAGCCCCAAGUCUCUGCCUGAAACAAGGGUCCAUUUCAUUUAAAAAAAUGAAAUCCUUCCAGGGACAUUGGCUGCAAAUCAAGCAAUCCCAGGACUUCUGAAGAAUUCACCUUUGAGAUCACCCAAGGGCAUCAUCAGAGAGGGGGGACAGCGGGCAUGAGUCAGGCAGACCUCAUGAGAGAAGAGAAAAGGUGCCAGGUCAGGAGAGGGCCGGGUGAAGAUCCAAGAGAACGGGCCAGGCCUGGAGCAAGAGGCAGGGACAGCCGCCAGGAACUAGCUGCCCACGGGGCAGGCACAGCCGCCAGGUCCGAGCUGCCCAAGGUGGACACUCCCCUGGUAUUCCCACUAUGCCACAAGGUCCAGAGGGAGCCCAGCUCCGAGCCUCGCUGUUUCCAGGACUGUGCCUAUCCAGCUGCUUUUGCCGGAUUCCCCGAACACAGCAGGGAACAGAUGGUGGAUGACUUGUUUAGAGGAGGAGCCCAGACACGAGUCAGGAUGAGGAAAAUGAACCUUCCAUCCGCCUACAAUGCCAAGAGCAGGUGCCCAAGGGCCCUCCCUUUGUUCUGAGGCACCCCAGCAACUGGGGAGACCUGGCUCUUGGCUGGCAUGUACUGGGACACUGAUAACAUCCCUACUGGCGCUUCUAUGCCGGCCCUCCUGCCCCUGCCCCUCACUGAUAAGCAACCUCUUGAGAGCGUAAUUUUGGAAGGUGCUGUCGAAGGCAGCAGUGAGAUGACCCACCACAGAUCAAGGAAUGCACGGCCCUUACCUUCCUUGACAACUAAGUAUGCUCCAAAAAUAGCCCGAUCUAUUCUUAGAAGGCUCUCCGCUCUGACACAGGGGCCACCACCCAUUAUGAGAGCCUACAGUCAACUCCUCAUCUCUCUUGCCCAGAAUUCUCUCUGCCCCUUUCCGAAGCACCAGGAGAGAUGAAAAUGACUCCUGCCCAACCUAAUUUCUGACUGCUAUAUGAGACAUCUCUGAUUUCAGUAACCCAGAAUCUCAGCGGCUCACAUCAGCUGGAAAGGACUUCACAGCAUCUGGUCCAAUCAUCCUGAAGCAUUGCUCUCGUCUACAAGAACCCGACCCCCAAAAGUGUUGCAUCCAACAUCGGCUUGGAGAUCUCUAAUGAGGUGGAAUCCACCACCUACUGAGGCAGUCCACAUCACCUUGGGAUACUGUUAUAACCUCUAUGUUCAUCCCCACUCUCAUUUCUUUCAGAAAUCUCCAAUUGGCUGGUCAGUAUAAUUUGGACUCCAGCUGUCUAUAACCGAAUUUAUUAUCAUUCCCUACCAAAUCCUCCCAUUUUCCCAACUUCCCUAUCUCUACUAAGGGCAACAUCAUCCUCUCAAGCCCUUGGAUUCACAAUCUGGAAGCAUCCGGGACUCCUCAUUAUCUCUCACUCCCUAGAUCCAAUAAGGUGCCAAGGCCUGUCCAUUUCACCUCUGCAACAUUUCUGUUUCACCUCUGCAGCAUCUUUCUAAACAUUUCACUUCUAUAGCAUGUCUGGUCAAUUUCACCCCUGCAGUAUCUCUAUCUUUUUCAUCUCUGCAGCAUCUCUGUUCAUUUCACUUCACCUCCUUGUCCAUUUCACCUCUGCAGCAUCUCCUUGUCCAUUUCACCUCUGCAGCAUUUCUCUAAACAUUUCACCUCUAUCGUAUCUCUGGUCAAUUUCAUUCUGCAACAUUUCUCUAUCCAUU
rnacentral:lncRNA from 1 species